CUGAGAGAUGGGGGCCCCUGAAGGAGGAAAAAGGGGCAAGACUAUCAUCUUGUGUCCACUUGUACUUGGUUCCCUCAACCUCUCUCCACUUCAUCCUGGACAGAUGACACCCACGGAGAAGGCCAUGCUGAUCUUCAGGAUUUUAGGCUUACAGUGCCCUCAAGAACCUUACAUCUGGACCACCAGAAAGAACCCCGAGUGCUUGUGACUGAGGAUGGAGUGGGGCAAGGUAGAAAUGUGAAGGAUGGUUUCCAACAACAUGCCCCCACCAGCCCAGGAUUCCUUCUGGUAGGCCAGAGCUGGAUGGACUGUUCACUCUUUUAUCACAAACUAGAUCUUCACUAGGAGAAAAAGUUAGAACAGGUCACUUACUCCCAGCCCAGGUCCAUGCAGCCUAAAAAUUCUGUUAAAGCAAAAAAGGAAAAUUGGAGGAUAAAAGGAAGAAAUAAAAGGAAUAAAGAGCAGGAGAGAGAGACUCAAUUUCAGAGUGAUCACACUGGAUACAGGUCAAGGUUCAAAAUACUAAAACUGUUUUUAAUGUUCCACUAAGUAGCAGCCUCUCAGUGCCUCUGACAAGUGAUUUAAGACAAGUGGUCUGCUCCCAAGGGGGCUCAUGAAUCUCCAUGCAUGACGGUUAGAUCGAGAGAGUCUGGAGUCACACAGUUGGAAAGGUGGCAAUGCAAAGGUCAGAAAUACAAGGGAGGAGUCCAUCCAUCAACCCUGACAGGCGGGCAUGCCCAGGACGGCAGAAGGGACAGGAGCCAUCUGGUAGCUUUGCUUGCAAGACCAGAUUAAGAAAGCACUAGCCCAGAAACCACAAAGGAGAAGACGGAGCUGUAUUUCCGGAGGAAAAAGCAAAGACUUCUACCCAAAGCUGAGAAUAAUCAUCCCCUCUGCUCCACCUACUCCCCGAGAGAAUCAAGCUCACUCAAAAUGCCACCCACAGACUCAAGCCUGAAGAACAGAGCUGAAAACCUGGCACAGCACCUCUGAAAAAUUGUUCAGCCCUGACCCCGGCCAAUGGAUGUGGAAAUCUCAUCUGUGGUCAAAAUCACACUCACAGAUCAGGCCACAGAUGCAAAUCCAUUUUCUGCCAUGGUAUCCACAGACCUCAUCUACAGCUUUCUGAUGACUGGCUUUCAUUCUAACUGAAAGGCCAACAAUAAGAUCCUGAUGGAAUUUUUCCUUAACACUAAAAGCACAAAGGGGCACCUGGGUGGCUCAGUCAGUUAAGUGCCUAACUUCGGCUCAGGUCAUGAUCUCACAGUUCGUGGGUGCAAGCCCCAUGUGGGGCUCUCUGCUGUCAGUGCACAGCCUGCUUCAGAUCCUCUGCCCUUGCCCCUCUCUAAAGUAAGUAAACCUUAAAAAAACGCACAAAUAAAUAAAAACAAACAGCAAACACAAUGUCAGACUCUAAUUUCACAGGAUGCCAUGUCAACCCGAGGCCUAUCCCAGGACCCGUAAGUGCUUUGCCCAGCAAGGGGCUAGAGUGCUCCAAAUCACAUCUGCAUUUCCCAAGAGCAGGCCUCAGAUGCUCUCAAAAUCUGGGAAGGGAAGCCAGUCCUGCUGCACAAAUGGUGGUUUGUUACGGAACAGGCCUACGCCUGUUGUCCUGUGAGCUAUUUUUGAAAAAGAGGCAAGAUGAGUAAGUUGAAUUAGAAUCUUUCAAAGCAGAAACUACUUUCCAGGACCCAGAUAUUUUCAGAAAUGUUCCAUUAACUAUUUCAAGGCACAAAAGAUCAUUUAGCAAAUCACCCUUUACUGUACUUAAAGGUUAAAAAGAUAACAAAGGCAAAGGCUCCUUUAGUGCAUGAAUUAUAAUCCUAAAGACUUAAG